rnacentral:tRNA from 1 species
GCCUGGGUGGCUUAGUCGGUUAAGCGUCAGACUUCGGCUCAGGUCAUGAUCUUGCAGUUCGUGGGUUCAAGCCCCACUUCGGGCU